AAUUUAGUGAGAGAGAUUCCAUGGUUCACCACCCAGAACAAGGUGCUUUCUUCCAUCUCAUAUGCCAAAAAAGCACUGAAAAUCCAGAGCACCAUUACUGAUUGGAAGACCAAAGGCUUGAUCUAGAAAUCACACACCAGCAUCUGCCCAUCCCAUGAUGACUUCUCCCCUGCAAAGCCAACUGCCUUCUCUCCUUACCAGCCUCCCCACCAAUGAAGUGGGCCGGGGUAGGGGACCAUUGUGUUGCUGUGACCCGUGCCUCCACCUAUGCCUAACCUCUGCCACAGCUGAAUGAACAGGACUAGCACUAGAUUCAAGCAUGAUCUCAGGAAAUGAUAGGAUGGAUUACAAACCCCCAUCGGCACUAAGGAUUCCUAGCCAAUCAUCCGGGACUAUUGCUUCAGCAAAGAGAGAGUCUUUGAGCAAAGGCCUGCCUUCACCAUUCUCCCGAGCAGCAGCACAUCUCUUCAGAAAUCUCAAUCUAAUGGGGGAAAGAAGGCUUCUCCCACGCCUGACGUCUUCAAAGAUGGCAACUAGGAAUCCAGAUUAUAUGCAGAACUUCUCUUCCUCCAGGAUGGGUACAGUGGAGCAAAGUUAUAGAUGGACCAGAAAGGCAGCUCAGGAUGGAGAAUAAAGUUUCAGGAAAUUCAGCAAAGUGAGCCCACUGGGAAUUUUUUAAAAUUCUAGGCCAAUGAUUGGAUAGGAAUACAGUCAGUGUUCCCAGUGUGAAGACUUUCCCUUCUGGCUAUUGAUCUUGCAGCAAUCAGACAGCUGUUUGCAGGGGAAUGAUCACUCUUUUCCUUUACAUAAUAUUCAUAAAUGUGCAGGCAAAUUAAAUGUGUCAUAGAUGAGAUUACCAACCAGAGUACCACCCGGCUGUCUCAUGUGAGCUUGGUUUAUGGAUCCAGUGUUCUCCAGCGAGCAUCACAAAUCCACAUAAUGUUCCCAAGUGCUAAAUUUGGAGCUCUGAUUUAGCUGACAGAUGUUUAAAAUCACAUUUAGUUGGACAACUCCCUGAGGAGGACACAGCUGCAGAUGUGAAAGAGAGCAAGUUAUUCCAGUUAAGGUCGGCGGGAACUCAGCCUGAAAACCUUCCGUCUCGAUCCGCCUUCUUCAGACAGGAUGAUAUGGGUGAAGGAACAUUUUCAUGCUGAUUCCACCCACCUUUGGCCAAACCUCAUCCCUUUGUUGAAUGGUUGCCAAGAUAAAUGCAGAAGUUGCAUCUUAGGCAAAGUGUGGGCUGCUCCAGUCAGCUGAAAUUGAGUAAAAGGGUGCUGCUAGCCCUUUAAAAACAGGCACAAAGCCACAUUUUGGAGCCUGCUUUGCCCCUGUGGUGGCAUCUGAGGCCUGCAAAUGAGUAUGAUUCUGGAAUUUUGCACUUCAGGAUCAGUUAUUCAGAUGGAUAGUUGAAGUCCAUGUGCUGAAUGAGGACAGAGAGGAAAAUGGUGCCAUUUACCCUCCCCCCACCCCAACAUCCCAAACAGCUCUCCUUCAUUUUUUAAAAACAACAAAAUUAAAAUUAUCCUGGAAUCUUCUUUGCAAAAAUCACAUAUUUUAGACUUGUUUCAAGACUCAGACUGAAACGAAUUUGUUUAAAAAAAAUUGUCUGUAUUUGAUGUGGGAGACUAGUG
ensembl:lncRNA